CGGUGGUUUUGGCGAGGGGGAAACACCCGGUCCCAUUCCGAACCCGGAAGUUAAGCCUCUCAGCGCCGAUGGUACUGCAUGGGAGACUGUGUGGGAGAGUAGGACACCGCCGGACC
rnacentral:rRNA from 1 species